GACGAACGCUGGCGGCGUGCUUAACACAUGCAAGUCGAGCGAUGAAACACCUUCGGGUGUGAAUUAGCGGCGAACGGGUGAGGAACACGUGAGAAAUCUGCCUUCAACUCUGGGAUAACUCCGGGAAACCGGGGCUAAUACCGGAUAUGAGCCUUGAUCGCAUGAUCGGGGCUGGAAAGUUUUUCGGUUGAAGAUGAUCUCGCGGCCUAUCAGCUUGUUGGUGAGGUAAUGGCUCACCAAGGCGACGACGGGUAGCCGGCCUGAGAGGGCGACCGGCCACACUGGGACUGAGACACGGCCCAGACUCCUACGGGAGGCAGCAGUGGGGAAUAUUGGGCAAUGGAGGAAACUCUGACCCAGCGACGCCGCGUGAGGGAUGAAGGCCUUCGGGUUGUAACC
rnacentral:rRNA from 1 species